GGCGGGAUGGAGCGUUCGGUUUUUCUCCUGGUUCUUUUUUUUUUCUUCUGGUUCUUAGGUGUGUCGUUCUUCUCCUUCCCCGUUAGAUUUUGCGGUUCUUUAGAUGUUUUGGAAGAUUUUACGGUUCUUUAGCCAUUGUUUUUGGGAUCUUAGGUUUCUCUUGCUUGUAUUUGGAUUUUUGUUUGGGUACGUGGCUUUCGAUUUCUUGAAUUGGAGAUUCUUGAAAACUAGUUCUUAUUGAAUUGGGGUUUCUCGUAAACGAUUUAUAGUAUUUUUUGGUUGAUAAUUUGAUUUAGGUCUUCGAUCAAAAAUUUGAUCUACGGUUUUAGAAUAGAGAAUUAUUGAUUUAUGGGAUUCUUUGGUUGAUAGUUUGAUUUAGGUUUUCUGCCAACAAUUUGAUUUAUGGUUUCAAGAAUGCUUUGUUCUUAUUCGAGGAUCUGUGAUACUUUAAUUUACUGAUUUGGGAUUUUUUGAAUGGUAUAGGUCUUCGGUCAACAAUUUGAUAUAGGCUUUUCAGUAUUGAGAAUGAUUGAUUUAAAGGAUUCUUGGUUGAUAAUUUGAUUUAGUCCUUCGGCGAACAAAUUGAUUUAGGGUUUCCAGAUUCAGGCAUGCUUGUUCUUAUUUGAGGAUCUGUGACAUUUAAUUUACUGAUUUUGGAUUUCUUGAGAGGAAUUUAGAGCGUCCCUUGGUUGCUAGUUUGUUAUAGGUUUCAAAUUUUGCUCUUUGGUACAUGUUCUAGGGUUCCUAUAAGCUUGGACCAUAUGGUUUUAUUUGUGGUCUAUUGCCUCUGUUCUGGAUUUGGGCCUCUAUGAGCAGGGGUUUUGAGGGAUCUUCUAUUAGUGAUUUAGGUUUCCAAGAAUUUGUCAUGAUCUGUUUUUUUUGAUGAUCUGCAGCCUUUGAUCUAGUGUUUUCUUUCAGAAUUUGCAAUAUUCUGUGAUUGAUUAAUCGCUUUCAGGUUGAUUUAGAACAUCUUGUUUUUGGUUGAAGUGCAAUGUCGGUUGCAUAGUGGUAACUGGUUGGUGUUAUUAUAUCGUUUCGGUAUACUGACGAGUUAUGGUUUUGUGGAGCACCAGAGAAGUUUUGUUGCCACAACCUUAGGAGUUCUUGAUUUUCACAUCUAUGGUCCUGGUUUUUUUAUUAUAUGAUUUUUGUACGGAUGUUCUGAUGUUUGGGUUUUUUCUGUGUUCCUGAUAUUGGGCAGUUUUCUUGUUCUGGGACCAUCAAGAAUUCCUGAUGGAUGCCAUAUCUAAUUCUUCAUUAGCAGGUGUUUAUAAUCUGUUGAAUUGGCAAGCUGCUUUUUAAUGAUUAUUUUGUUGUUACUGCACUUGUAUGUCGGGUUGAGGAGGGCUACUUCUUUGUUCAAGGGGUUAUACCUUAAUUUAUAUGGAAUUGGAAAGUUGGAAAAUCAAGCUGCUUCAAUAUGUCAUAAUUGGCUCCAAGUAUUAUUAUGGGGAGUUCGAUUGGUUAAAUCUUCCUUUAUGCCUUUAGUUGCUUGAUUUUGUAGUUCAUCUGUUCAAUGGUCUUUUUUGCAGUUUUGUUCUUUUUUAGCUGAUCUGUCUAUGUUGACAUGCUCCUCAUUUCUUGACUGUAUCUCAAGAUAUCCAUUCUCAUAAUUUGCAAGUCUUGGUAAACAAGGCAAACAAUUUCUUGUGCAUGUUGGAAGAGUUUGUCAAAAUUCAAUUUGUUUCAUUUCUCUUAGAGAUUGAGAUACAAUAAGUAUGCCAAAUUUAGUCUGAUGGCCAGUUGGUCUUUGUGCUGUGGAUUGCUGAGGUUUGGAAAUAUCAAAUUUUCAGUUAUUGGGGAAGAGCUCUGUUUCUUACCCGAAAUUAUAUUAAUUUUAUCCUUUUAUGAAUUCUCCUUUUGUAACUUUUUUUUUGGCUUAUCAGGGCCGCACCUAUAUGGAGUUUCUAAUUAGAACUUGAGAUGUCCUUAGUUUGGAUAUGACUCUGUUUACUGCUGUAUGGCUUGAAAAUGUUUGAUGCACAAAGAGACAUUUUCUUUUUGUUGUUUAUAUUGUAUCUGCUAUACUUGGUUUAAAGGGUUCUUCACUGAGGUCAAAAUAAAAAUGGUUCUGUUUACUGCUGUAUGGCUUGAAAAUGUUUGAUGCACAAAGAGACAUUUUCUCUUUGUUUUUUAUAUUGUAUCUGCUAUACUUGGUUUAAAGGGUUCUUCACUGAGGUCAAAAUAAAAAUGGUUCUAAAUUCCUUGAUGUCCUUUUGAUUUCAUGAUAGUUCUAGAGAUUCUUGCUGAUGUUCUUAUAAGAGGGGAAACUACGGAGUAGGUGGUUCUAUUUUGUCCUGAUAUUUCCUUGGGUUAGUAAUUUUGGCUUUCUUGUUUGCUUUGAUUAGUUUUUGUGCUACAUUUCUUGGUGAUUGUUUUUAUUUGGUUCGUCAAUAUCUUGAUUUAAUUAUUGACUAAGGUAGUAUAAUUUUUCAGAACAAAGAUAUGGCUGGAGUUAAGAUACGAUUAUGUCCCCCAUAUUAUAUUUUCAGCCUAGCAAAACUCAAUGCUGGUGGGGGUCUUUUUCUUCUUCCUAGGGAUUUAGUGGAGUCACGCAUUCUCACUGUUUUGCCGAUCUUUAUUCUGGUUGAAUGCUUAUCAUAGGCAAUCUGUCCAUGAUCUUGUCAAAUUUGGAGCAUUUUGGGCUUUUCAUUUGGUCAAUAUGUUUUGUUUAUUCAUUUAUAGUUCACAUAUUCCAGUUAUUGUUUUAGGCUUUACUGCUUGGUGAUUCUUUUGUUUGUCUAACAGUAUCGCGGUUUCAUCUUUGACUAAUGUGGCAUCAUAUACCAAAAUACAAUAUUGCAGGGUUGUAGUUGAAAGAAGGUUGUUUACAGAGGAGGGUGUUUCUAAUCUCAUAUGGAUUGUGUCUAUUAAUUUUUUUCCCUAGUGGUUGUUGCGGCAUUGCAAGAUUCUCUAAUUCAUGGGGAUCUGGAAGUACAUUUGACUUGAUGAUUUUCUUGGUAUCACUCUUGCUAGUUGUGUACUCUUAAGUUUUGUCACGUUAAGUUCUAUGCUUGACAACUCAUUUCUCGUGCAGUGAGGUUUAUGUCUUUCCUAUAUCAUUGAAUUCCUUACCAUGGACUUAUUGGCAGGGACCUGCCCACCACCUAGGUUCUUAACAAUUAAUUCUUUUUACCGGGUUUCCUGACAUUGAAUUUUGUUUCAAUUACCAACUCAACCAGUUGGGAUAUGGCUGUUCAGUAAAUGGACUUGUGGUUUACAUUAUCUUUUUGGUCCCUCAAUGCUUGUCUUUGUUAUAUAAUCUUUAUUUUUCCUAAAAUUAUUAACUAAAUAAUGAUAUUAAUCAGCAUUUUGUUGCUUUAUGUUUAGCAAUGGAAUGAUGUUUGCUGCUCAGGAUCUCCCCCUCCCCCCUUCUUUUUUUAAAAAAAACACACUCAUGUGGUGCCAUGAGCCAAAAUAAUGAAUAUAUAGGUGCUAGUGUCAAGAUUUCGUCUUCAAUGCAGGGGUUUCCUAUAGUUGAUACUGAUGUACAUAAAGUGGUACAUUUUCUUGAGUCCCACCAGCAGGCCAGAAUAUUAUCAUUGCUUUUAUUGCAGUUUCGCAGGAGGCUUUGCUGAAGAGGUUUUCUUUUUUCAGGAGUACCAGGUUUUGCUCAAGAGGAUUCUUUCCUUAAGAAUGUUUGUUAUCGUGUAUGUUGCGGUUAUUGUGUUCCAGCCUUUAUUGUCUAAUGAUGCAGUAAUUUAUGUUUAGUUUACGCAUUGGGUUACAGAUGGAGCAGAUUUUUAGAAAUUAUGGAUUUGGUUGAUUGCAAUGAGUUUCAUUCUCUUAUAUGAUGGACAACUGCUCCUCUUCUUCUGUUUCUUUAAUCAAGAUUGUGAUCCAGUCACACUCCUUGGUGGUACAGCUACGUGGAUGGAUAGGCUCGAGAUAUGUUUGCAGCGAGCUUCAUUUCCUUUUCUUGUAUAUGAGGUCCUCUUUUCCUUCUGUCUCUUUCAUCAGGAUGCUGAUCCAGUCGUCAGUUUUCCAUAGUCAUAAUGCUACUGUGCAUGGAUUGGCUUCAUGCAUGGUUUUGACGAGUGAGGUUUUUCAUCCUAUAGCGAAGGUAUGGAAGACGAUAUGGCUUUGCUGGCUGGAUUUGCUUCGUAUAUGGUUUUCAUGGGCGACAUUUUUCAUCCUGCUGCAAAGAUAUGAAAUGAUAUAUUUCCCAGGUUGCUCACUCAGGGCGUGGAGUGAUCACUGUUUCUUCAGUCCCAGUCCUGCCUGAGCUUGUAGUGGUGGAGACAUAUUUUGUAGUGGGUAGUUCUCAAGAUCUUGGACUUGUCAAAUUUUCAUGGAUCUCAUUUAUGGUUGUCAGCUUUUUGGGUUCUUAAAGAAUUGAUUUUGGGUUUUGAGGGAUCUUCUGUUAUUGAUUUAGGUUUCCAAGAAUUUGUCAUGAUUUGCUUUUGUUUGAUGAUCUGCAGCCUUUGAUAUAGUGUUUUCUUUCAGAAUUUGGAAUAUUCUGUGAUUGAUUAAUAGCUUUCAGGUUGAUUUAGAACAUCUUGUUUUUGGUUGAAGCGCAAUGUCUGUUGCAUAGUGCUAACUUGUUGGUGUUAUUAUAUCAUUUUGGUAUACUGAUGAGUUAUUGUUUUGGGGAGCACCAGAGAAGUAGUGUUUCCACAACCUUAGAAUUCCUGAUGGAUGUCAUAUCUAAUUCUUCAUUAACAGGUGUUUACAAUCUGUUGAAUUGGCAAGCUGGUUUAUAAUGAUUAUUUUGUUGUUACUGCAGUUGUAUGUCGGAUUGAGGAGGGCUAUUUCUUUGUCCAAGGGGUUAUACCUUAAUUUAUAUGGAAUUGGAAAGCUGGAAAAUCAAGUUGCUUUUAUAUAGUUUGAGGCAAUACGUCAUAAUUGGAUCCAGGUAUUAUUAUAGGGAGUUCAAUUGGUUAAAUCUUCCUUUAUGCCUUUAGUUGCUUGAUUUUGUAGUUCAUCUGCUUGAUGGUAUUUUUUGCAGUUUUGUUCUUUAUUAGCUGAUCUGUCUAUGUUGACAUGCUCCUCAUUUCUUGACUGUAUCUCAAGAUAUCCAUUCUCAUAAUUUGCAAGUCUUGGCAAACCAUUUCUUGUGCAUGUUGAAAGACUUUGUCAACAUUCAUUUUAUUUCAUUUCUCUUAGAGAUUGAGAUACAAUAAGUAUGGUAAAGAAAGCAGGUUCCAGUUUAGUCUGAUGGCCAGUUGGUCUUUGUGCUGUGGGAUUGCUGAGGUUUGGAAUUAUCAAAUUUUCAGUUAUUGGGGAAGAACUCUGUUUCUUACCCUAAGGGCCUAAACUAUAUUAAUUUUGUCCUUUUUGUAGUUUUUUUUUGGAUUAUCAGGGCCGCACCUAUACGGAGUUUCUAAUCAGAACUUGAGAUGUCUUUGGAUAUGACUCUGUUUGCUGCUAUAUGGCUUGAAAAUGUUUGAUGCACAAAGAGACAUUUUCUCUUUGUUUUCUCCUACCUCCCUCCCUCCCUCUCUCUCUCACAGUUUUUUAUAUUGUAUCUGCUAUACUUGGUUUAAAAGGUUCUUCACUGAGGUUAAAAUAAAAAUGGUUCUAAAUUCCUUGAUGUCCUUUUGAUUUCAUGAUAGUUCUAGAGAUUCUUGCAGAUGUUCUUAUGAGAGGGGAAACUACUGAGUAGGUGGUUCCAUUUUGUCCUGAUAUUUCCUUGGGCUAGUAAUUUUGUUGUCUGCUUUGAUUAUUCUUUUGGGCUACAUUUCUUGGUGAUUGUUUUUAUUUGGUUCAUCAAUAUCUUGAUUUAAUUAUUGACUAAGGUAGUAUCAUAUUUCAGAACAAAGAUAUGGCAGGAGUUAAGAUAUGAUUGUAUGAGGGGAAAUAUGACUUUAAUGGAUUUUGUCCCCCAUAUUAUUUUUUCAGCCUUGCAAAACUCGAUGCUGGUGUGGGUCUUUUUCUUCUUCCUAGGGAUUUAGUGGAGUCUUGCAUUCUCACUGUUUUGCCAAUCUUUAUUCUGGUUGAAUGCUUAUCAUAGGCAAUCUGUCCAUGAUCUUGUCGGAAUUGGAGCAUUUUGGGUGGUUCAUUUGGUCAAUAUGUUUUGUUUAUUCAUUAUAGUUCACAUGUUCCAGUUAUUGUUUUAGGCUUUACUGCUUGGCGAUUCUUUUGUUUGUCUAACAGUAUCGCGGUUUCAUCUUUGACUAAUGUGACAUCAUAUACCAAAAUACAAUAUUGCAGGGUUGUAGUUGAAAGAAGGUUGUUUACAGAGGAGGUGUUUCUAUCUCAUAUGGAUUGUGCCUAUUAAUUUUUUUCCCUAGUGGUUGUUGCGGCAUUGCAGGAUUCUCUAAUUCAUGGGGAUCUGGAAGUACAUUUGACUUGAUGAUUUUUUGUGUCUAUUAAUUUUUUUCCCUAGUGGUUGUUGUGGCAUUGCAGGAUUCUCUGAUUCAUGGGGAUCUGGAGGUACAUUUGACUUGAUGAUUUUCUAAGUAUCACUCUUACUAGUUUGUGUACUUUUAAGUUUUGUCCUGUUAAGUUCUAGGCUUGGCCGCUCAUUUCUCGUGCAGUGAGGUCUAUUUAUUUCCUAUAUCAUUGAAUUCCCUAUCACGGACUUAUUGGCAGGGACUUGCCCACUCCCUAGGUUCUUAAAAAAUAAUUCUUUUUUGCGAGUUUUCUGACAAUGAAUUCGGUUUCAAUUACCAACUCAACCAGUUGGAAUAUGGCUGUUCAGUAAAUGGACUUGUGGUUUACAUUAUCUUUUUGGUGCCUCAAUGUUUGUCUUGUUAUAUAUUCUUUAUUUUUCCUAAAAUUGUUAACUAAAUAAUUGAUAAUAAUCAGCAUUUUGUUGCUUUAUGUUUAGCAAUGGAAUGAUGUUUGCUUCUCAGGAUCUCCCACUCCCCCCUUCUUUUUUAAAGAAUAACACGCUGAUGUGGUGCCUUGAGCGAAAGUAACGAUAUAUAGGUGCUAGUGUCAAGAUUUCGUCUUCAAUGCAGGGGUUUCCUAUCUUUGAUACUGAUGUACAUAAAGCACCACAUUUUCUUGAGUCCCACUAGCAGGCAAGAAUAUUAUCGUUGCUUUAAUUGCAGUUUUGCAGGAGGCUUUGCUGAAGAGGUUUUUCUUUUUUCGGGAGUCCCAUGUUUUGCUCGAGAGGAUUCUUUCUUUUAAGAAUGUUUGUUAUCGUGUAUGUUGCGGUUAUUGUGUUCCAGCUUUUUAUAUCGAAUGAUGCGGUAAUUUUUGUUUAGUUUACAUUGGGUCACAGCAGGUGGGGAUUUUUAGAAAUUCUGGAUUUGGUUGAUUGUAAUGAGUUUCAUUCUCUUAUAUGAUGGACAACUGCUCCUCUUCUUCUGUUUCUUUAAUCAAGAUUGUGAUCCAGUCCAACUCCUUGGUGGUACUGCUACGUGGAUUGGUAGGAUUGAGGUAUGGUUGCAGCGAGCUUCAUUUCCUUUUCUUGUGUAUGAGGUUCUCUUUUCCUUCUGUCUCUUUCAUCAGUAUGCUGAUCCAGUCAUCAGUUUUCCAUAGUGAUAAUGCUACUGUGCAUGGGUUGGCUUCAUGCAUGGUUUUGAUGAGUGAGGUUUUUCAUCCUAUAGAGAAGGUAUGAAAGAGGAUAUGGCUUUGGUGGAUGGAUUGGCUUCGUAUAUGGUUUUCAGUCGUCCUGCUUUGGGAAAUGUUAUAUUUCCCAGGUUGGUACUCAGGGCAUGUAGUGAUUACUGUUUCUUCAAUUCCAGUCCUGCCUGAGCUUGUAGUGGUGGAGAUAUAUUUUGUAGUGGGUAGUUCUCAAGAACUUGGGACUUUGUCAAAUUUUCAUGGAUCUCAUUUAUGGCUGUUGGCUUUUUGGGUUCUUAAAGAAUUGCUUUUGGCAUUCAAUUUGGUUUAUGACUUAAAGAAUUGCUUUUCUGGCACUGUGCUUUCAGAGCAUCUUGGGAGUCAUCAACUUCUUGUCUUGCUUUUGUUGGACCGUAUUUGAAGUAUCUUUAGAUUAUAUUCUCUCUCAUUUUUUUAAACUUUCACUUCUUAGUUAUCUUAGUGAUGGGGAGCAAAAUGGAUCGGGCCAAAUUUGAACCCCAACACUUAGCUAUAUGGGCAAUGUAAAUGUCAGUUUCUAGGGAUCUGGACAUCGGUAUAGUUUUUCUGUUAGUGCUUUCAGAUUAUAUUGUACCAGAACAAUAACUGCCACUUAUGAGCGUCAUCGAAGUUGAUGGAUACAAGUGUUUGGUAAGUAGCACUUUAAUUAGCAAGUUGCACAUCUCGAUUCAUCAUCUCUCAUUUUCCUUUCUUUCCUUUUUGGCUCAUGUUAUGUUUCAUGUUUCAGCUAAGGGUGUUUCUUAUCUUUGUUGAUGUGGAUCAAUCAAAAUACUUUAUCAGUUUUUAUGGCGGGCAGAAUUUAAUAUCCUUGUUCUGGUCGAAUUUCAUAGAGGUUUUGCUCUAGCAGAUUCUUUUCAUUGAGGGGAGCUUUUGCUACUGGAUGUUGGUAUUAUUUGUCUGCUGGGCUCUAUCAUCUCAAUGCUUCAGUGAUCUAAAUGAUUUGGUGAGAUAUGUCAUCUUUUGAUCAGGGAAUGGAUGUGGAUCCUUAUGCACACCUUGGGCUACAAUCUAAAGAGUAUUGUUAGGAAUUUCAUUUUUCUGGAAAUUCUGGAUUUGGAUAUUUGCAAGGAGCUUCGUAUGUCUUCCCCUAGAGUCAAGGUUCUUCUUUAGAUUUUUUGAAGUUACCUGUCACCAAUAUUUCAUCAUCAAUUCCAUUUUUUUCAUCAUGUACUAUGGUUAAUAUAUCCAUUUUUUUUGCUAAGUCAUCCUCUUCAAUUAGUGCCCUGAAUCAAUUGGGAAAUUUCUGCAGCUUCAAUAUUGACUGAAGCAGUCAUAUGAAGUAAUUGGCUCAUGAUAUAAUUCUGAUGAAGGGGGGGUUUUACCUUAAAGUUUAUUAUGCAUAUUUUGUUAAAUGACAUUUAUUUAGUAGUCUUCUUACCAAAGCUGAUUAUUGUUUCUUGUUUCUUUGCAGCCUCUUGAGAGCGUGUCAUGGUAAUCCAGUUUGACUUAUGUAGAAUCUACAAAUUCCUUUUUCUUAACUAUCUGAAUAGGUAUCUUGGUUAUUGACACCUUGGGCUACAAUCUGAAGAGUCUUGUUAGGAAUUUCAUUUUUCUGGAAAUUCUGGAUUUGGAUAUUUGCAAAGAGCUCCAUCUGUCUUCCCUUGGAGUCAAGGUUCUCCUUUCUUUUUUAGAUUUUUUGAAGUUACUUGUCACUAAGAUUUCCUCAUCAAUUCCAUUAUUUUCAUCAUGUACUAUGGCUAAUAUAUCCAUGUUUUUUUGCUAAGUGAUCCUCUUCAAUCAAUGCCCUGAAUCAAUCAGCAAAUUUCUGCAGCUUCAAUAUUGACUGAAGCAGUCAUAUGAAGUGGUUGGCUCAAGAUAAUUUUCUGAUGAAGGGGGGUUUUUACCUUAAAGUUUAUUAUGCACAUUUUGUUAAAUGACAUUUAUUUAGCAGUCUUCUUACCAAAGCUGAUUAUUUUUUAUUUAGCAGUCCUCAACAUUUAUUAUUCACUUUGUCAACAUUCAUUUUAUUUCAUUUCUCUUAGAGAUUGAGAUACAAUAAGUAUGGUAAAGAAAGCAGGUUCCAAUUUAGUCUGAUGGCCAGUUGGUCUUUGUGCUGUGGAUUGUUGAGGUUUGGAAUUAUCAAAUUUUCAGUUAUUGGGGAAGAGCUCUGUUUCUUACCCUAAAUUAUAUUAAUUUUAUCCUUUUAUGAAUUGCCCUUUUUGUAGUUUUUUUUUGGAUUAUCAGGGCCACACCUAUACGGAGUUUCUAAUCAGAACUUGAGAUGUCUUUGGAUAUGACUCUGUUUGCUGCUGUAUGGCUUGAAAAUGUUUGAUGCACAAAGAGACAUUUUCUUUGUUUUCUCCUACAUCCCUCCCUCCCUCUCUCUCUCACAGUUUUUUAUAUUGUAUCUGCUAUACUUGGUUUAAAGGGUUCUUCACUGAGGUUAAAAUAAAAAUGGUUCUAAAUUCCUUGAUGUCCUUUUGAUUUCAUGAUAGUUCUAGAGGUUCUUGCAGAUGUUCUUAUAAGAGGGGAAACUACUGAGUAGGUGGUUCUAUUUUGUCCUGAUAUUUCCUUGGGCUAGUAAUUUUGUUGUCUGCUUUGAUUAUUCUUUUGGGCUACAUUUCUUGGUGAUUGUUUUUAUUUGGUUCAUCAAUAUCUUGAUUUAAUUAUUGACUAAGGUAGUAUCAUAUUUCAGAACAAAGAUAUGGCAGGAGUUAAGAUAUGAUUGUAUGAGGGGAAAUAUGACUUUAAUGGAUUUUGUCCCCCAUAUUAUUUUUUCAGCCUUGCAAAACUCUAUGCUGGUGCGGGUCUUUUUCUUCUUCCUAGGGAUUUAGUGGAGUCUUGCAUUCUCACUGUUUUGCCAAUCUUUAUUCUGGUUGAAUGCUUAUCAUAGGCAAUCUGUCCAUGAUCUUGUCGGAAUUGGAACAUUUUGGGUGGUUCAUUUGGUCAAUAUGUUUUGUUUAUUCAUUUAUUGCAUGUUCCAGUUAUUGUUUUAGGCUUUACUGCUUGGCGAUUCUUUUGUUUGUCUAACAGUAUCGCGGUUUCAUCUUUGACUAAUGUGGCAUCAUAUACCAAAAUACAAUGUUGCAGGGUUGUAGUUGAAAGAAGGUUGUUUACUGAGGAGGUGUUUCUAAUCUCAUAUGGAUUGUGCCUAUUAAUUUUUUUCCCUAGUGGUUGUUGCGGCAUUGCAGGAUUCUCUAAUUCAUGGGGAUCUGGAAGUACAUUUGACUUGAUGAUGAUUUUUUGUGUCUAUUAAUUUUUUUCCCUAGUGGUUGUUGUGGCAUUGCAGGAUUCUCUAAUUCAUGGGGAUCUGGAGGUACAUUUGACUUGAUGAUUUUCUAAGUAUCACUCUUACGAGUUUGUGUACUUUUAAGUUUUGUCCUGUUAAGUUCUAGGCUUGGCAGCUCAUUUCUCGUGCAGUGAGGUCUAUUUAUUUCCUAUAUCAUUGAAUUCCCUAUCACGGACUUAUUGGCAGGGACUUGCCCACUACCUAGGUUCUUAAAAAUUAAUUCUUUUUUGCGAGUUUUCUGACAUUGAAUUCCGUUUCAAUUACCAACUCAACCAGUUGGGAUAUGGCUGUUCAGUAAAUGGACUUGUGGUUUACAUUAUCUUUUUGGUGCCUCAAUGUUUGUCUUGUUAUAUAUUCUUUAUUUUUCCUAAAAUUGUUAACUAAAUAAUGAUAUUAAUCGGCAUUUUGUUGCUUUAUGUUUAGCAAUGGAAUGAUGUUUGCUUCUCAGGAUCUCCCACUCCCCCCUUCUUUUUUAAAGAAUAACACGCUGAUGUGGUGCCUUGAGCGAAAGUAACGAUAUAUAGGUGCUAGUGUCAAGAUUUCAUCUUCAAUGCAGGGGUUUCCUAUCUUUGAUACUGAUGUACAUAAAGCACCACAUUUUCUUGAGUCCCACUAGCAGGCAAGAAUAUUAUCGUUGCUUUAAUUGCAGUUUUGCAGGAGGCUUUGCUGAAGAGGUUUUUCUUUUUUCGGGAGUCCCAGGUUUUGCUCGAGAGGAUUCUUUCUUUUAAGAAUGUUUGUUAUCGUGUAUGUUGCGGUUAUUGUGUUCCAGCUUUUUAUAUCGAAUGAUGCGGUAAUUUUUGUUUAGUUUACACAUUGGGUCACAGCAGGUGGGGAUUUUUAGAAAUUCUGGAUUUGGUUGAUUGUAAUGAGUUUCAUUCUCUUAUAUGAUGGACAACUGCUCCUCUUCUUCUGUUUCUUUAAUCAAGAUUGUGAUCCAGUCCAACUCCUUGGUGGUACUGCUACGUGGAUUGGUAGGAUUGAGGUAUGGUUGCAGCGAGCUUCAUUUCCUUUUCUUGUGUAUGAGGUUCUCUUUUCCUUCUGUCUCUUUCAUCAGUAUGCUGAUCCAGUCAUCAGUUUUCCAUUGUGAUAAUGCUACUGUGCAUGGGUUGGCUUCAUGCAUGGUUUUGAUGAGUGAGGUUUUUCAUCCUAUAGAGAAGGUAUGAAAGAGGAUAUGGCUUUGGUGGAUGGAUUGGCUUCGUAUAUGGUUUUCAGUCGUCCUGCUUUGGGAAAUGUUAUAUUUCCCAGGUUGGUACUCAGGGCAUGUAGUGAUUACUGUUUCUUCAAUUCCAGUCCUGCCUGAGCUUGUAGUGGUGGAGAUAUAUUUUGUAGUGGGUAGUUCUCAAGAACUUGGGACUUUGUCAAAUUUUCAUGGAUCUCAUUUAUGGCUGUUGGCUUUUUGGGUUCUUAAAGAAUUGCUUUUGGCAUUCAAUUUGGUUUAUGAUUUAAAGAAUUGCUUUUCUGGCACUGUGCUUUCAGAGCAUCUUGGGAGUCAUCAACUUCUUGUCUUGCUUUUGUUUGACCGUAUUUGAAGUAUCUUUAGAUUAUAUUCUCUCUCAUUUUUUGAGCUUUCACUUCUUAGUUAUCUUAGUGAUGGGGAGCAAAAUGGAUCGGGCCAAAUUUGAACCCCAACACUUAGCUAUAUGGGCAAUGUAAAUGUCAGUUUCUAGGGAUCUGGACAUCGGUAUAGUUUUUCUGUUAGUGCUUUCAGAUUAUAUUGUACCAGAACAAUAACUGCCACUUAUGAGCGUCAUCAAAGUUGAUGGAUACAAGUGUUUGGUAAGUAGCACUUUAAUUAGCAUGUUUCACAUCUCGAUUCAUCAUCUCUCAUUUUCCUUUCUUUCCUUUUUGGCGCAUGUUAUGUUUCAUGUUUCAGCUAAGGGUGUUUCUUAUCUUUGUUGAUGUGGAUCAAUCAAAAUAUAUCAGUUUUUAUGGCGGGCAGAAUUUAAUAUCCUUGUUCUGGUCGAAUUUCAUAGAGGUUUUGCUCUAGCAGAUUCUUUUCAUUGAGGGGAGCUUUUGCUACUGGAUGUUGGUAUUAUUUGUCUGCUGGGCUCUAUCAUCUCAAUGCUUCAGUGAUCUAAAUGAUUUGGUGAGAUAUGUCAUCUUUUGAUCAGGGAAUAGAUGUGGAUCCUUAUGCACACCUUGGGCUACAAUCUAAAGAGUAUUGUUAGGAAUUUCAUUUUUCUGGAAAUUCUGGAUUUGGAUUUUUGCAAAGAGCUUCGUAUGUCUUCCCCUCGAGUCUAGGUUCUAUUUUCUUCUUUAGAUUUUUUGAAGUUACCAGUCACCAAGAUUUCACCAUCAAUUCCAUUAUUUUCAUCAUGUACUAUGGUUAAUAUAUCCAUUUUUUUUGCUAAGUGAUCCUCUUCAAUCAGUGCCCUGAAUCAAUCGGCAAAUUUCUGCAGCUUCAAUAUUGGCUGAAGCAGUCAUAUGAAGUAAUUGGCUCAUGAUAUAAUUCUGGUGAGGGGGGGGGGGGGGUUUACCUUAAAGUUUAUUAUGCAUAUUUCGUUAAAUGACAUUUAUUUAGUAGUCUUCUUACCAAAGCUGAUUAUUGUUUCUUGUUUCUUGGCUGCCUCUUGAGAGCGUGUCAUGGUAAUCCAGUUUGACUUAUGUAGAAUCUUCAAAUUCCUUUUUCUUAACUAUCUGAAUAGGUAUCUUGGUUAUUGACACCUUGGGCUACAAUCUAAAGAGUCUUGUUAGGAAUUUCAUUUUUCUGGAAAUUCUAGAUUUGGAUAUUUGCAAAGAGCUCCAUCUGUCUUCCCUUGGAGUCAAGGUUCUCCUUUCUUUUUUAGAUUUUUUGAAGUUACCUGUCACUAAGAUUUCCUCAUCAAUUCCAUUAUUUUCAUCAUGUACUAUGGCUAAUAUAUCCAUGUUUUUUUGCUUAGUGAUCCUCUUCAAUCAGUGCCCUGAAUCAAUCAGCAAAUUUCUGCAGCUUCGAUAUUGACUGAAGCAGUCAUAUGAUGUGGUUGGCUCAAGAUAAUUUUCUGAUGAAGGGGGGUUUUACCUUUAAGUUUAUUAUGCACAUUUUGUUAAAUGACAUUUAUUUAGUAGUCUUCUUACCAAAGCUGAUUAUUGUUUCUUGUUUUUUUGCAGCCUCUUGAGAGCGUGUCAUGGUAAUCCAGUUUGAUUUAUGUAGAAUCUACAAAUUUCUUUUCUUAACUAUCUGAAUAGGUAUCUUGGUUAUUGAUUUGGAUAGAUUUUGAAGAACUCGGACCUGAUUAAAUUUUAAUAGAUUUGUUUCAUAACCGAGGCUGAUUUGUCGUUGCCCGGUCCACUUGACCAGCCCAUCAAUAAGAUUGCCCUUUGCCAACAAUAAAGAAAAGAAAAAAAAAAGAAAGGAAAGUCAGGUGCGUGCCUUGCACGUGCCUAGCUACAGUAGACUCCUUCGACUACUCCAGUUGGGAGUCAAAGUCUAGAGGGCUGGAGGCUGGGAAACCCUAGCCCUCCACCUCAGUUUAAGGCAUCCCAUCCCCUUGAGGUUCUACCAUCCAACAUUGUUGGCCUCGUGCGCCUUCUUUUUCUCCUUUUUCAUCUUGAUUGCCGGUGUUUAGGUUCACCGUUGACUAUUCCCUUUCUCCUCCUUUUGAUAUUUAAAUAUGGAUUUAGUGCCUCUGAACCAGCAUUUAUUUAGUUGUUUCAUGAAUGAUGGUUUUGGAUUUUUGAUUUUGUUUUAAGAUUAUAAUUGUUGGCUUCGUAUUUUCAAGGGUUGUACCCCUCAGUAGUAUAGUCGUAUUAUGUUUCGGAUUUGGGGCUUGACAGAUUUUAACAUUUUAGUUUUGGAAAAUACUUGAUCAAUGCCUAUUAUAGGAUUUAUGACUUUCUUUUUGUUAAUUAGCCUUCUGAAUAGGUAUCUUGUUUGUUAAUUUGGGUAGAUUGUAAACUUUGAAUUUGUAACUGAGGUGAUCUUGUUCUGAUUCUGUCCUCCCUGUCCCCACCCCAUUUGAAGUUUGUUCACGGAAUAUACUUUUGGUUCAUGCUAUUGAAUAUAAUGUAGUUUGUGCAAGAAUUCUAGCAUGCACACUGUUUGCUUUUGUGAUAGGUAGGGGCUAGUAUGUUACUACAAAAAUGUUUAUUUGGUGUUUCAUUCUGAGGUUGGUUAUUUUGGUCCCUCCUUCAUUAUUUUUCUUGUAUUCUUUCAUUGACGUUCUUUUGGUUAUCAUUUCAUUAACACACGUACAUUAGCUGCCUUGCCAUGACAUUGAAGGCUGUGAACUGUUAAAAGAUUUAGAUUUUUAGGUUUUGGGAUUCAUAUGUUGUUUGAUGUUUUUUUGGAAUUAUGCUUUUGAAAAAAUUAUAUCAAGAUAAUUUCUUCUCAAUUAUGGUUGGUAUCCAGUUCACAAAGGCUAGAGUUUGAUGCUUUUCACAUAGGCCCUAUCAAGAUAGACCAUGAUAUCGUCCAUUGUUAUGGUAUUCUAGUCAUUGAGAAGAAAUUAUCAAGAUAGACCAUGAUAUCGUCCAUUGUUAUGAUAUCGUCCAUUGUUAUAGUAUUCUAGUCAUCUUGAAGGUACAUCACUAUUACUUAGUCUCAACUCAUUCUCGUGGCUUUCUAUUCUUUGUCACAUUGCUGCAAAACCUUUGAUCUUGAACUUUUCGAACAAAGACCUAUGUGAGAAGUUUUCAACUAUCUUUAUCGCUGGGGGUUGGCUAGGUUGUAUCUCCCUUUACUUUAGCAUGAAACACUCUAUUGGAUCGAUACAUCGAAUUUGACAAAUCAGCUUGAUUGUUGUUCUUAUGGAAGGUCGUUGUCCCGUAAUUACUGUUAUGAUUUUUCGUUUGUUGUUUGCUUGUGGUCCUACAACUUAGACACAUUUAAUAUUCAUCCAUUGUUCUAUACUUUGCUACAUAUUUUGUUCUUCUUCUGUGCUUUUCUUUCUCUUUUCUCAUUUCUUUUAAAUGGAUGGUUGCUGUUGUAUUUUAAUGUGACGAGAGUUUUGGUCCUGCUUGCAUGGCGGUUUGGGUUGUAUCUUUUGCACGAAAGAGUAAUUGAUCUUCUUUUGCAACAUCAACUGUUGGAUCGCACCUGGCUCUCAAAACACUUUGAAUUAUAUCCAGUUAUCGCUAUAUAUAUCUCAAAGUGACCAUUGCUCGAUCUGAUUGUGAAUUUGUGCAAAGGUGAGUCCUUUCGCAUAAUUUUCUUGCUGUCAUAGUGAUCCAUGUCAUCUGUCUUAUUUUCUUGUGGUUUUCCAGCUCAGACUUAAUUUAAGUCAAUGUUUUCUAUUGUCAUGUUUUUCUUUUUUCAGGCGAAAAAAUUUGCAUUGGACUAUUGGUGAUGUAUUUUAAUGGGAGUAAAGUUUUGGUCAUGCAUGUAUGGUGGUUCUUUUAUUCCUGUCACAGUGGUUAUCUAUUUCCUGUCUGCUCAUGUUUUUCCAGCUUAGACAUGUUCGUUGUUCAUCUUUGAUGUUAGAUUGUGAUGUUUCUAUACAAAAUAUUGAGGUUUCAUCUUGUGCGGUGAUUUUGGGGCCUAUACAAUUUAUCAUUCACUAAAUCUCGACUGCUAGACAUGCCCAAUUAGUUCAACUUAUUGGCAUGAUAGUGGAUUGGAGCACCCUGUGGCGGGUAUAAGAGAAUUAAGCAUAUAUUAACAAAGGAUACUUUCCAUUAACCAUUGCACUAUAGUCUUGUAGGGCAUCUUUCUUUGCCCAGUAUACUACUACAAGCUGGAAGAUGCUGUUGAUUACUUGCCCCAAAUGGAAAUGCUAUACAAAUCAUAUGCUAAUCAAAACUCUUAAAUUUAGAGCUCAGAGCAAAGACAUGACAAUAACUCAUAUUAUGUGGAUGCAAAACACACUGAGGCUCAGCAGCCUCAUCUCCUUAAAUAAAAAAAAAUGCCUAAUGAUACUCUGGCAAUUUUGAUGCUCGAUGUCUCCAUGCAGUGGUGCAUCGAGCAGCUUUGAAUCUCGAUAUAGUGCCAUCGAGCAGCUCUGAAUCUCGAUAGAGGGUUCUUUCUGGUUCAUUAUUGUUGUUAUAAUCAUUUAGGUUGUUGUUACGGUUGGAGUUGGCAAUGAAAGUUGCAUUACUUGAUUGGAGAUAUUGGACGCAGGAAGUUAGAUGGGACAGCUCCAAUAUUGCAGGAAUGUGUUUCGUACGGAAUGCAUUGGGCAGGGCUGAAUAUGUCCUUGUUGCUCCGGCUGUAGGUCAUUUGCGAUUAAUAUUGAGUCAUUAGGUAGAAUUUUGGUUGUGGGUGUGCAUUAUGGUUCUUUUAUGGCUGUCAUGGCAUGCUAUGUCAUCCUAAGACAUUCAAUAUUAAGUUAUCAUGCUAUACUCAUCCUUUCUUCUCUCUUUUAAGAAAAAAAUACACGCACUUGUGAAUAUUUUUUUUUUCUUUUUUGUGGAAUUUAACAUCGAUACAUCUUUAUUUUUUGGGGGAAAAACACAUGGACUGGAUGGUGAUGUAUUUCAAUGUGAGAAGAGUUUUGGUCAUUCAUGCAAGGUGGUACUUUGAUUGAUGUCAUGGUAAUCUCUUUCUUGUUUACUUGCAGUUUUCAGAGCUAUAGUUCUAUAUUUCUUUUUUUUUUAUUUUUUCAGAAUCUUUAUUUUCUUAUUUAUUUUUCUCUUUUUGGGAGAAAAAACACAUGCAUUGGACUGUUGGUGAUAUAUUUUAAUGCGUGCGGAGUUUUGGUUGUUCUUGGUGAUUCCUUGAUUGCUGCUAUGGUGUUCCCUUUCUUGUUGCCUUGUGGUUCUCCAGCUUAGACACGUUUAUUAUGAAGCCAUUGUUCUAUGCUCCGUUUCCCGUUCAGAAAAAUCAUAUGCAUUGGACUGUUGAUGAUGCAUUUUCUUCUUCUUUUGUACUUAUCUUUUUCUCUCUUUGCGAAUGGAUGAUCGGUGUUGUAUUUUGAUGCAACUAAAGUUUUAGUCAUGUUUGCAUGGUGACUCUUUUAUUGCUAUCAUGGUAAUCCAUGUUUUGUGUCCUGUUUGCUUGUGGUUUUUCCUUUUGACUCAAUAUUUAAAUCGUUGUCCUACAGUCAUCUUUUCUUUUUUGUAGAAGAAAAACAUGCAUUGGACUAUUGGUGAUGUAUUUUGAUGGGAGUAGAGUUUUGGUCGUAUGCAUGUGGUGGUUCUUUUAUUCCUGUCGUAAUGGUCCAUGUUAUUUGUUUCCUGUUUGCUUGUGGUUUUCCAUCUUAAAGACACAUUCUAUGUUAAUCAUUGAUGCUAGAUUGUGAUGUUCCCAUGCAAAAUACUGAGGUUUCAUUUUGUGUAGUGAUUUUGUGGCCUACGCAAUUAUCAUUCACUAAAUCUUGACUGUCAGAUUACACACAACUAAGUUGCCCAACUAAUUCAACUUAUUGGCAUGGUAGAGGAUUGUGGCACCCCACAAACGCUUAUUGGUGAAUGCCCAUGUCCUCUGAUGUUUGGGUUUGCGUCUUCCUGUGUUUUGCCAUAUGCAGAGUUAUGUUGUGUGUCCUAUUAAUUUGAUCAUCUGGCUUGUAUGUUUAUGGUAUAUGAAAGAUGAAUCCAGUGAGUGGGCAAGCAAUCAUUUAUGGUAUAUGAAGCUAUUGUUCUGUGAUCCUUUUUCCGUUCAAAAAAAUCAUAUGCGUUGGACUGUUGGUGAUGUAUUUUCUUCUUCUUUUGUACUUAUCUUUUUCUCUCUUUGUGAAUGGAUGGUUAGUGUUGUAUUUUGAUGCAACUAGAGUUUUAGUCAUGCUUGCAUGGUGGCUCUUUUAUCGCUAUCAUGGUAAUCCAUGUUUUGUGUCCUGUUUGCUUGUGGUUUUCCCGUUUGACUCAAUAUUUAAAUCGUUGUCCUAAGGCAAUCGUAGACUAAAAUCCUAUGAAGACAACAUUAAACGUAUUAUCAUUCUGUUUUGUUAUAGGGCCUAAGCGGUUCAAUAAUAUUAAAUGUGAAGAGAGCGAUUGAUCUAGUGAAGUUGCAUCUAACUGAAAGUUUGAGGCCUUGAAUUAUCCCUUGGCGAGUAGGAAUGUAAUGUUUGUGGUCUCGUUUGGAAGCAAUCUUUGAUGAUCAAGGAAUGUAAUGCUUUUUUUUUUUUCUGAACGACUAUUUUGUUUAUGUGGAUUUUCUAGCUCUCUUGGAAGUUCACUUAAGCCACCUAAGUGUCUAGAUCAAAGUUUGCCUUACUGGUCAGUACUGUACCAUAUCGGAUUUAUUGUACCAUAUUGGUAUCGAAUCAGUAUGUUGUUCUCGUACUGUAUCAACAUUUGGUACGUGUUGCCGUUUCAUACUGUAUCAUAUACUAAUAUUAUAAUAGGAUGGCAUCAGUAUGUGUUGUUCUCGUACUAAAUGGAUGGUUGCUGCUGUAUUUUAAUGGGACGAGAGUUUUAGUCAUGCUUGCGUGGGGGUUUGGGUUGUAUCUUUUGCAUGAAAGGGUGCUUGAUCUACUUUUUGCGACGUCAACUGUUGGAUCGCGCCCGUCUCUCAAAGCACUUUGAACUCUAUCAUAAUCUGUUGAAUUGGCAAGCUGCUUUAUAAUGAUUAUUUUGUUGUUACUGCAGUUGUAUGUCGGGUUGAGGAGGGCUACUUCUUUGUUCAAGGGGUUAUACCUUAAUUUAUAUGGAAUUGGAAAGUUGGAAAAUCAAGCUGCUUUUAUAUAAUUUUAGGCAAUAUGUCAUAAUUGGCUCCAGGGUUGUAGUUGAAAGAAGGUCGUUUACAGAGGAGGGUGUUUCUAAUCUCAUAUGGAUUGUGUCUAUUAAUUUUUUUCCCUUGUGGUUGUUGCGGCAUUGCAAGAUUCUCUAAUUCAUGGGGAUCUGGAAGUACAUUUGACUUGAUGAUUUUCUAGGUAUCACUCUUGCUAGUUGUGUACUUUGAAGUUUUGUUAUGUUAAGUUCUAUGCUUGUUAGCUCAUUUCUCAUGCAGUGAGUUUUAUUUCUCUCCUAUAUCAUUGAAUUCCUUAUCAUGGAUUUAUUGGCAGGGACCUGCCCACUACCUAGGUUCUUAACAAUUAAUUCUUUUACCGAGUUUCCUGACAUUGAAUUCUGUUUCAAUUACCAACUCAACCAGUUGGGAUAUGGCUGUUCGGUAAAUGGACUUGUGGUUUACAUUAUCUUUUUGGUCCCUCAAUGCUUGUCUUGUUAUAUAAUCUUUAUUUUUCCUAAAAUUAUUAACUAAAUAAUGAUAUUAAUCAGCAUUUUGUUGCUAUAUGUUUAGCAAUGGAAUGAUGUUUGCUGCUCAGGAUCUCCCCCUCCCCCCUUCUUUUUUAAAAAAUAACACACUGAUGUGGUGCCAUGAGCCAAAAUAACGAAUAUAUAGGUGCUAGUGUCAAGAUUUCGUCUUCAAUGCAGGGGUUUCCUAUCUUCGAUACUGAUGUACAUAAAGUGGUACAUUUUCUUGAGUCCCGCCAGCAGGCAAGAAUAUUAUCAUUGCUUUUAUUGCAGUUUCGCAGGAGGCUUCGCUGAAGAGGUUUUCUUUUUUCAGGAGUACCGGGUUUUGCUCAAGAGGAUUCUUUUCUUAAGAAUGUUUGCUAUCGUAUGGAGGAGAUUUUCAGAAAUUAUGGAUUUGGUUGAUUGCAAUGAGUUUCAUUCUCUUAUAUGAUGGACAACUGCUCCUCUUCUUCUGUUUCUUUAAUCAAGAUUGUGAUUCAGUCACACUCCUUGGUGGUACAGCCACGUGGAUGGGUAGGCUCGAGAUAUGUUUGCAGCGAGCUUCAUUUUCGUUUCUUGUAUAUGAGGUCCUCUUUUCCUUCUGUCUCUUUCAUCAGUUUUCCAUAGUGAUAAUGCUACUGUGCAUGGGUUGGCUUCAUGCAUGGUUUUGAUGAGUGAGGUUUUACAUCCUAUAGCGAAGGUAUGAAAGAGGAUAUGGCCUUGCUGGAUGGAUUUGCUUCGUAUAUGGUUUUCAUGAGCAACAUUUUUCGUCCUGCUGCAAAGAUAUGCAAUGAUAUAUCUCCCAGGAUGCUCACUCAGGGCAUGGGGUGAUCACUGUUUCUUCAGUUCCAGUCCUGCCUGAGCUUGUAGUGGUGGAGACAUAUUUUGUAGUGGGUAGUUCUCAAGAACUUGGAAAAUUUUGAUGGAUCUCAUUUAUGGUUGUCAGCUUUUUAGGUUCUUAAAGAAUUGCUUUUGGGUUUUGAGGGAUCUUCUGUUAUUGGUUUAGGUUUCUAAAAAUUUGUCAUGAUCUGCUUUUGUUUGAUGAUCUGCAGCCUUUGAUCUAGUGUUCUCUUUCAGAAUUUGGAAUAUUCUGUGAUUGAUUAAUAGCUUUCAGGUUGAUUUAGAACAUCUUGUUUUUGGUUGAAGCGCAAUGUCUGUUGCAUAGUCGUAAGUUGUUGGUGUUAUUAUAUCAUUUUGGUAUACUGACGAGUUAUGGUUUUGUGGAGCACCAGAGAAGUAUUGUUGACACAACCUUAGGGAGUUCCUGAUUUUCACAUCUAUGACCCUCUACAUGACAAAACACAAGCAAACACAGGCCCGGACGUCAGAGGACAUGGGCAUUCCCCAAUAAGCGUUUGAACGGGGUGACACAAUCCUCUACCAUGCCAAUAUGUUGAAUUAGUCGGGCAACCUAGUGAAUGAUAACACAUCACCAACAAUCCAAUGCAUGUUUUUUUCGCCUAAAAAAAGAAAAACAUGAUGAUAGAACAUUGACUUAAAUUAAGAUUAAGCUGGAAAUCCACAAGCAAACAAGACAGAUGGCAUAGACCACCAUGACAGCAAAAAAAUUGUGCAAAAGGACUCACCUUCCCUUGCACAAAUUCACAAUCGGAUCGAGCAAUGGUCACUUUGAGAACUACAUAGCGAUAAAUGGAUAGAGUUAAAAAUGCUUUGAGAGACGGGUGCUAUCCAACAGUAAAAUAGAUCAAUCAUUCUUUCAUGCGAAAGAUACAACCCAACCCCCCCUCUCCCCCCCCCGGAAGCACGACCAAAACUCUCAUCACAUUAAAAUACAACAGCAACCAUCCAUUUAGAACGAGAACAACACGUACCGAUACCAUCCUAUUAUAAUAUCAGUAUAUGAUACAAUAUGAAAUGGCAACAGGUACCAAAUGUUGAUACAGUACGAGAACAACAUACUGAUUCAAUAUCAGUAUGGUACAAUAAAUCCGACAUAGUACAGUACUGACCAGUACGGCAAAUUUUGAUCUAGACACUUAUGUAACUUAACAAAACUUCCAAGAGAACCAGAACAUCCACAUAAACAAAAUAGCCAUUCAGAAAAAAAAAAAAAGCAUUACAUUCCUUGAUCAUCAAAGAUUGCUUCCAAACGAGAUCACAAAUAUUACAUUCCUACUCGCCAAGAGAUAACUUAGUUAAGGCCUCAAACUUUCAGUUAGACUUCAUUAGAUCAAUCGCUCUCUUCAUAUUUUAUAUUAUUGAACCGUUUAGCCCCUAUAACAAAACAGAAUGAUAAUACGUUUAAUGUUGUCUUCAUAGGAUUUUAGUCUACCAUGGGCUUAGGACAACGAGACCUCAAACUAUGUAAGCAGUCUCGCGGAAAAGGCUUGGCUUUGUUAGUAGUGCCCGCCCAUUCUGUCUCGCCCGCCUUUCCGGUCCGUCCUUCAUAGGGCGCACGACAUGUCUACUCAACUGAUACCACUAGCCUUGCAUUGUGUGGACUUCCCUUCCCCAAUCCAGAACUAGUCGACCUUUCAUCACAAAUUCUUUCAUGAGCUGGUCCUCGCCUUUUAAAGCCGGGAUAAGGGCCUUGCUCGACUGGAAGGACAGGAUUGGUUUCAAACCGGAGGAAAGAAUGAAGUUCAGUGGAAUUUCCUUGCCUUGUAAUGAGCAAGAGUCGACUGACCUUGCUAUCUACGAGACAAGAUAGCUGGGUUGGGUGGGAUGUGAAGAAAUGGAAACCCGAUCCAGCAGUGAUCGAUGGAUUACCAUGAUAGCGAUGAAUAAAACUCUAGUUGCAUCGAAAUACAACACUAACCAUCCAUUCACAAAGAGAGAAAAAGAUAAGUACAAAAGAAGAAGAAAAUACAUCACCAACAGUCCAAUGCAUAUGAUUUUUUUGAAUGGAAAAAGGAUCACAGAACAAUGGCUUCAUAUACCAUAAAUGAUUGCUUGCCCACUCAAUGGAUUCAUCUUUCAUAUACUAUAAACAUACAAGCCAGAUGAUCAAAUUAAUAGGACACACAACAUAACUCUGCAUAUGGCAAAACACAAGAAGACACAGACCCAAACAUCAGAGGACAUGGGCAUUCACCAAUAAGCGUUUGAACGGGGUGCCACAAUCCUCUACCAUGCCAAUAAGUUGAAUUAAUUGGGCAACUUAGUUAUGUGUAAUCUGACAGUCAAGAUUUAGUGAAUGAUAAUUGCAUAGGCCACAAAAUCACUACACAAAAUGAAACCUCAGUAUUUUGCAUGGAAACAUCACAAUCUAGCAUCAAUGAUUAACGUUGAAUGUGCCUUUAAGAUGAAAAACCACAAGCAAACAAGAAGCAAAUAACAUGGACCACUACGACAGGAAUAAAAGAACCACCACAUGCAUAUGACCAAAACUCUACUCCCAUCAACAUACAUCACCAACAGUCCAAUGCAUGUUUUUCUUCCACAAAAAAGAAAAGAUGACUGUAGGACAAUGGUUUAAAUAUUGAGUCAAAUGGAAAAACCACAAGCAAACAGGACACAAAACAUGGAUUACCAUGAUAGCAAUAAAAGAGCCACCAUGCAAACAGACUAAAACUCAAGCUGCAUCAAAAUACAACACCAACCAUCCAUUCACAAAGAGAGAAAAAGAUAUGUACAAAAGAAGAAGAAAAUACAUCACCAACAGUCCAACGCAUAUGAUUUUUUUGAGCAGAAAAAGGAGCAUAGAACAAUGGCUUCAUAAUAAACGUGUCUAAGCUGGAGAACCACAAGAAAACAAGAAAGGGAUCACCAUAACAGCAAUCAAGGAAUCACCAAGAAUAACCAAAACUCUGCACGCAUUAAAAUAUAUCACCAACAGUCCAAUGCAUGUGUUUGUCUCCCAAAAGAGAAAAAUAAAUAAGAAAAUAAAGAUUCUGAAAAAGUAAAAAAAAUAUGAGUAUAGAACUAUAGCUCUGAAAACUGCAAGUAAACAAGAAAGAAAUUACCAUGACAUCAAUCAAAGUACCACCUUGCAUGCAUGACCAAAACUCUUUACUCGCAUUAAAAUACAUCACCAUUCAGUACAUGUGUUUUUCCCCCAAAAACUAAAGAUGUAUCGAUGUUAAAUUCCACAAAAAAGAAAAAAAAACAUAUUCACAAGUGUGUAUUUUUUUCUUAAAAGAGAGAAGAAGGGACAAGUAUAGCAUGAUAACUUAAUAUUGAAUGUCAUAGGAUGACAUAGCAUGCCAUGACAGCAAUAAAAGAACCAUAAUGCACACCCACAAGCAAAAUUCUACCUAAUGACUUAAUAUUAAUCACAAAUGACCUACAGCCGGAAAAGCACAGAAGAAGAACAAAAUAUGUAGCAAAGUAUAGAACAAUGGAUGAAUAUUAAAUGUGUCUAAGUUGAAGGACCACAAGCAAACAACAAACAAAAAAUCAUAAUGGUAAUUAUGGUACAAUACCUUCCAUAAGAACAACAAUCAAACUGAUUUGUCAAAUUCGAUGUAUCGAUCCAAUAGACUGCUUCCUGCUAAAGUAAAGGGAGAUACAACCCAACCAGCCCCCGACAAUAAAGAUAGUUGAAAACUUUUCACAUAGGUCUUUGUUUGAAAAGUUCAAGAUCAAAGGUUUUGCAGCAAUGUGACAAAGAAUAGAAAGCCACAAGAAUGAGUUGAAACUAAGUAAUAGUGAUGUACCUUCAAGAUGACUAGCAUACCAUAACAAUGGACAAUAUCAUGGUCUAUCUUGAUAGAGCCCAUGCAAAAAGCAUCAAACUCUACCCUUUGUGAACAGGAUACCAACCAUAAUUGAGAAGAAAUUAUCUUGAUAUAAUUUUUUCAAAAGCAUGCUUCCAAGAAAACAUCAAACAACAUAUGAAUCCCAAAACCUAAAAGUCUAUAUCUUUUAACAGUUCACAGCCUUCAAUGUCAUGGAAAGGCAGCUAAUGUACAGGUGUUAAUGAAAUGAUAACCAAAAUAACCAACCUCAGAAUGAAACACCAAAUAAACAUUUUUGAAGUAACAUACUAUCCCCUACCUAUCACAAAAGCAAACAGUGUGUAUGCUAAAAUUCUUGCACAAACUACAUUAUAUUCAAUAGCAUGAACCAAAAGUAUAUUCUGUGAACAAACUUCGAAUGGGCGGGGACAAGCAAGACAGAAUCAGAACAAGAUCACCUCAGUUAUGAAUUCCAAGUUUACAAUCUACCCAAAUUAACAAACAAGAUACUUAUUCAGAAGGCUAAUUAAAAAAAAAAAGUCAUAAAUCCUAUAAGAGGCAUUGAUCAGGUAUUUUCCAAAACUAAAAUGUAAAAAUCUGUCGAGCCCUAAAUCCGGGACAAAAUACAACCAUACUAUUGGGGGGUACAAUCCUUGAUAACAUGAAGCCAACAAUUAUAAUCUUAAAUAAAAUCAAAAAUCCAAAACUAUCAUUCAUGAAAUAACUAAAUAAAUGUUGGUUCAGAGCCACUAAAUCCAUAUUUAAAUAUCAAAAGGAGAGAAAGGGAAUAGUCAACGGUGAACCAAUACACCAGCAAUCAAGAGGAAAAAGAAGAAAAAGAAGGCACACGUGGCCAACGAUGUUGGAUGGUAGAUCCUCAAGGGGGUGGGAUGCCUUAAAUUGAGGUGGAGGGUUAGGAUUUCCUAGCCUCCAGCCUUCUAGACUUUGACUCCCAAUCAGAGUAGUCGAAGGAGUCUACUGUAACUAGGCACGUGCAAGGCAUGCACCUGACUUUCCUUUCUCUUUUUUUAUUUUCUUUUUUGUGGGCAAAGGGCGAUCUUAUUGAUGGGCUGGUCAAGUGGACCAGGCAACCACAAAUCAGCCUCAGUUAUGAAAGAAAUCUAUUAAAAUUUAAUCUGGUCCGAGUUCUUCAAAAUCUAUCCAAAUCAAUAACCAAGAUACCUAUUCAGAUGGUUAAGAGAAAGGAAUUUGUAGAUUCUACAUAAGUCAAAUUGGAUUACUAUGCCACGCUCUCAAGAGUCUGCAAAGAAACAAGAAACAAUAAUCAGCUUUGGUAAGAAGGCUACUAAAUAAAUGUCAUUUAACAAAAUAUGCAUAAUAAACUUUAAGGUAAACCCUCCCUUCAUCAGAAUUAUAUCUUGAGCCAACCACUUCAUACGACUGCUUCAGUCAAUAUUGAAGCUGCAGAAAUUUGCUGAUUGAUUCAGGGCACUGAUUGAAGAGGAUCGCUUAGCAAAAAAACAUGGAUAUAUUAACCAUAGUACAUGAUGAAAAUAACGGAAUUGAUGAUGAAAUCUUAGUGACAGGUAACUUCAAAAAAUCUAAAGAAGAAAGGAGAACCUUGACUCCAAGGGAAGAUAGAUGAAGCUCAAUAAAUGUCAUUUAACAAAAUAUGCAUAAUAAACUUCAAGGUAAAACCCCCCUUCAUCAGAAUUAUAUCAUGAGCCAAUUACUUCAUACGACUACUUCAGUCAAUAUUGAAGCUGCAGAAAUUUGCUGAUUGAUUCAGGGCACUGAUUGAAGAGGAUCACUUAGCAAAAAAAAUGGAUAUAUUAACCAUAGUACAUGAUGAAAAUAAUGGAAUUGAUGAUGAAAUCUUGGUAACAGGUAACUUCAAAAAAUCUAAAGAAGAAAGAAGAACCUUGACUCCAGGGGAAGACAGAUGAAACUCUUUGCAAAUAUCCAAAUCCAGAAUUUCCAGAAAAAUGAAAUUCCUAACAAUACUCUUUAGAUUGUAGCCCAAUGUGUGCAUAAGGAUCCACAUCUAUUCCCUGAUCAAAAGAUGACAUAUCUCACCAAAUCAUUUAGAUCACUGAAGCAUUGAGAUGAUAGAGCCCAGCAGACAAAUAAUACCAACAUCCAGUAGCAAAAGCUCCCCCCAAUGAAAAGAAUCUGCUACAGCAAAACCUCUAUGAAAUUCGACCAGAACAAGGAUAUUAAACUCUGCCCGCCAUAAAAACUGAUAAAGUAUCUUGAUUGAUCCACAUCAACAAAGAUAAGAAACACCCUUAGCUGAAACAUGAAACAUAACAUGAGCCAAAAAGGACAAGAAAGGAAAACAAGAGAUGAUGAAUUGAGAUGCGCAACAUGUUAAUUAAAGUGCCACUUACUAAACACUUGUAUCCAUCAACUUCGAUGACGCUCAUAAGUGGCAGUCUUUGUUCUGGUACAAUAUAAUCUGAAAGCACUAACAGAAAAAACUAUACCGAUGUCCAGAUCCCUAGAAACUGACAUCUACAUUGCCCAUAUAACUAAGAUAACUAAGAAGUGAAAGCUCAAAAAAAUGAGAGAGAAUAUAAUCUAAAAGAUGCUUCAAAUACGGUCAAACAAAAGCAAGACAAGAAGUCGAUGACUCCCAAGAUGCUCUGUAAGCACAAUCCCAGAAAAGCAAUUCUUUAAGUCAAUAGCAUUUCUUUAAGAACCCAAAAAGCUGACAACCAUGAAUGAGAUCCAUGAAAAUUUGACAAAGUCCAAGUUCUUGAGAACUACCCACUACAAAAUAUAUCUCCACCACUACAAGCUCAGGCAGGACUGGAAUUGAAGAAACACUGAAACAGUAAUCACUACAUGCCCUGAGUACAACCUGGGAAAUAUAACAUUUCAUAUCUUCGCAACAGGACGAAAAAUGUCGCUCAUGAAAAUCAUAUACGAAGGCAAUCCAUCCACCAAAUCCAUAUCCUCUUUCAUACCUUCUCUAUAGGAUGAAAAACCUCACUCAUCAAAACCAUGUAUGAAGAAAACCCAUGCACAGUAGCAUAUCACUAUGGAAAACUGAUGACUGGAUCAGCAUACUGAUGAAAGAGACAGAAGGAAAAGAGAACCUCAUACACAAGAAAAGGAAAUCAAGCUCGCUGCAACCAUACCUCAAUCCUACCAAUCCAUGUAGCUGUACCAAGGAGUUUGACUGGAUCACAAUCUUGAUUAAAGAAACAGAAGAAGAGGAGCAGUUGUCCAUCAUAUAAGAGAAUGAAACUCAUUACAAUCAACCAAAUUCAGAAUUUCUGAAAAUCCCCACCAGCUGUGACCCAAUGCGUAAACUAAAAGAAAAUUACCGGAUUGCCCAUUCAUGAAAUAAGGUGCAGGGGUUCUUUGCAUCCGUAGAGGAGGCUCAUCCAUGAUUGGGAAUCGGAAUGUCGGUACUUGACUGCAUCAUUAGACAUAAAAAGCUGGAACACAAUAACCGCAACAUACACGAUAACAAACAUUCUUAAAAAAAAGAAUCCUCUUGAGCAAAACCUGGGACUCCCGAAAAAGAAAAACCUCUUCAGAAAAGCCUCCUGCGAAACUUCAAUUAAAGCAAUGAUAAUAUUCUUGCCUGCUAGCGGGACUCAAGAAAAUGUGCCGCUUUAUGUACAUCAGUAUCAAAGAUAGGAAACCCCCGCAUUGAAGAUGAAAUCUUGACACUAGCACCUAUAUAUCGUUACUUUGGCUCAAGGCACCACAUCAGUAUGUUAUUCUUUAAAAAAGAAGGGGGGAGGGGGAGAUCCUGAGCAGCAAACAUCAUUCCACUGCUAAACAUAAAGCAACAAAAUGCUGAUAAAUAUCAUUAUUUAGUUAAUAAUUUUAGGAAAAAUAAAGAUUAUAUAACAAGACAAGCAUUGAGGGACCAAAAAGAUAAUAUAAACCACAAGUCAAUUUACUGAACAGCAUAUCCCAACUGGUUGAGUUGGAAAUUGAAACUGAAUUCAAUGUCAGAAAACUCGCAAAAAAGAAUUAAUUUUUAAGAACCUAGGUAGUGGGCAAGUCCCUGCCAAUAAGUCCGUGAUAGAAAAUACAAUGAUAUAGGAAAUAAAUAGACCUCACUGCACGAGAAAUGAGCUGCCAGGCCUAGAACUUAACAGGACAAAACUUAAAAGUACACAAACUAGUAAGAGUGAUACUUAGAAAAUCAUCAAGUCAAAUAUACCUCCAGAUCCCCAUGAAUUAGAGAAUCAUGCAAUGUCACAACAACCAAUAGGGAAAAAAAUUAAUAGACACAAAAAAUCAUCAAGUCAAAUGUACUUCCAGAUCCCAUGAAUUAGAGAAGCCUGCAAUGCCGCAACAACCACUAGGGAAAAAAAUUAAUAGACACAAUCCAUAUGAGAUUAGAAACAAACCCCUCUGUAAACAACUUUCUUUCAACUACAACCCUGCAAUAUUGUAUUUUGGUAUAUGAUGCCACAUUAGUCAAAGAUGAAACCGCGAUACUGUUAGACAAACAAAAGAAUCAUCAAGCAGUAAAGCCUAAAACAAUAACUGGAACAUGUGAACUAUAAAUGAAUAAACAAAACAUAUUGACCAAACGAACCACCCAAAAUGCUCCAAUUCCGACAAGAUCAUGGACAGAUUGCUUAUGAUAAGCAUUCAACCAGAAUAAAGAUUGGCAAAACAGUGAGAAUGCGAGACUCCACUAAAUCCCUAGGAAGAAGAAAAAGACCCCCACCAGCAUAGAGUUUUGCAAGGAUGAAAAAAUAAUAUGGGGUACAUAAUCAUUAAAAUCAUAUUUCCCCUCAUACAAUCAUAUCUUAACUCCUGCCAUAUCUUUGUUCUGAAAUAUGAUACUACCUUAGUCAAUAAUUAAAUCAAGAUAGUGAUGAACCAAAUAAAAAUAAUCACCAAGAAAUGUAGCCCAAAAGAAUAAUAAAAGCAGACAAGAAAGCCAAAAUUACUAGCCCAAGAAAAAUAUCAGGACAAAAUAGAACCACCUACUCGGUAGUUUCCCCUCUUAUAAGAACAUCUGCAAGAAUCUCUAGAACUAUCAUGAAAUCAAAAGGACAUCAAAAGAACUAUCUUAGUGAAGAACCCUUUAAACUAAGUAUAGCAGAUACAAUAUAAAAAACUGUGAGAGAGAGAGAGGGAGGGAGGAAGGUAGGAGAAAACAAAGAGAAAAUGUCUCUUUGUGCAUCAAACAUUUUCAAGCCAUACAGCAGCAAACAGAGUCAUGUCCAAACUAAGGACAUCUCAAGUUCUGAUUAGAAACUCCGUAUAGGUGCGGCCCUGAUAAUCCAAAAAAAAAGCUACAAAAAGGACAAUUCAUAAAAGGAUAAAAUUAAUGUAAUUUAGGAUAAGAAACAGAGCUCUUCCCCAAUAACUGAAAAUUUUAUAAUUCCAAACCUCAGCAAUCCACAGCACAAAGACCUACUGGCCAUCAGACUAAAUUUGGCAUACUUAUUGUAUCUCAAUCUCUAAGAGAAAUGAAAGAAAUCGAAUUUUGACAAACUCUUCCAACAUGCACAAGAAAUUGUCUGCCUUGUUUGCCAAGACUUGCAAAUUAUGAGAAUGGAUAUCUUGAGAUACAGUCAAGAAAUGAGGAGCAUCUCAACAUAGAGAGAUCAGUUAAAAAACAGAA